rnacentral:rRNA from 1 species
AAGCAUAUCAAUAAGCGGAGGAAAACAAACUAACAAGGAUUCCCCUAGUAACGGCGAGCGAACCGGGAAGAGCCCAGAAUGAAAAUCUCCCUUUGGAGAAUUGUAGUCUAUAGAAGCAACCUCUGUAGCGCGCGGUCCUCAAGUCCUCUGGAAAGGGGCAUCAGAGAGGGUGACAAUCCCGUCGGGACCGUAGCUGCUGCCUCACGAGGUGCUUUCACAGAGUCGGGUUGCUUGGGAAUGCAGCCCUAAUUUGGUGGUAAAUCCCAUCUAAGGCUAAAUACUGGCGAGAGACCGAUAGCGAACAAGUACCGUGAGGGAAAGAUGAAAAGAACUUUGAAAAGAGAGUUAAAAAGUGCUUGAAAUUGUUGAGGGGGAAGCGAUUGGAGGCUAUGGGUGCGCCUAGGCUUACGCGUCCUUAACGGGGCGCUGCAUGUGCUAGGCGCUGGUCAGCAAGGGUUGGGCCAGCAGGAUAACAGCAAGGGUUGUUACCUUGUCUAUACUGCUUGCCCGACCAAGGCGUGAAGGCUGCCCUUGUCCUUCGGGAACUGCAGCCUCAAGUUGCUGGCGGAAGGUUUCCAAUUGACCCGUCUUGAA